rnacentral:rRNA from 1 species
CAGUAGCCGCGGAAAUACAGAGGGUGCGAGCGUUAAUCGGAUUUACUGGGCGUAAAGCGUGCGUAGGCGGCUUUUUAAGUCGGAUGUGAAAUCCCUGAGCUUAACUUAGGAAUUGCAUUCGAUACUGGGAAGCUAGAGUAUGGGAGAGGAUGGUAGAAUUCCAGGUGUAGCGGUGAAAUGCGUAGAGAUCUGGAGGAAUACCGAUGGCGAAGGCAGCCAUCUGGCCUAAUACUGACGCUGAGGUACGAAAGCAUGGGGAGCAAACAGGAUUAGAUACCCGUGUAGUCCCUGUCUCUUAUAC